CAAUAGCCUAACGGCUGAACCAGCAACUUGGAGGAAUGUAUAGCGAUAGCUAAUUGCAUCGAAAAUAUGAUGCAAGAUCGAUUUAUUGAAUAAAAUUCUGGGUAGAAUUAUGAUUAUGACAUUGUCUACCCAUGUGUCUUGACCAAAUUACGUGCCAGCAGUCGCGGUAAUACGUAGAAGACUAGUGUUAUUCAUCUUUAAUAGGUUUAAAGGGUACCUAGACGGUAAAUCAAGCCCUAGACGGGACUAAUUUGCUAGAGUUACUUAUGAGGGGGUUUUAAAGUACUAAUGGUGUAGAGAUGAAAUUUUGUAAUACCAUUUUUCGAAAGGAAAGUAAUGGCACAGGUAUAGGCGAAAGCAUCCCCUUAUGUGAUAACUGACGUUGAAGGACGAAGGCUUUGAGUCGCGAACAGGAUUAGAUACCCUGGUAGUCAAAGCAGAAAAUAAUGAGUGUCAUAGAUUAGAUAUUAAAGUUUAUUCUAUAAAUGAAAGUGUAAGCACUCCACCUCAAGAGUAAUUUGGCAACAUUGGAACUGAAAUCAUUAGACCGUUUCUGAAACCAGUAGUGAAGUAUGUUGUUUAAUUUGAUAAUCCGCAAAAAACCUUACCACAAUUUGAAUAUUUAUAUCGUUGAUAUAAUUACAAGCGUUGCACGGCUGUCUUCAGUUAAUGUCGUGAGAUUUUGGUUAGAUCCAUUAAAUUAACGCAAGCCCUUACUUUAUUUUAAAAUAAAGUCGUUCCCCACUAGAUUGGAUAAGAUAACAGGGAUUAAGACAAGUCAUCAUGGCCUGAAUAUUGUGGGCUA
rnacentral:rRNA from 1 species